GACGAACGCUGGCGGCGUGCUUAACACAUGCCAGUCGAACGGAAAGGCCCCUUUGGGGGUACUCGAGUGGUGCACGGGUGAGUAACACGUGAGUAACCUGCCCUUGACUUCGGGAUAACUUCAGGAAACUGGGGCUAAUACCGGAUAGGAAUCCUUGCUGCAUGGUGGGGGUUGGAAAGCUUCGGCGGUUUUGGAUGGACUCGCGGCUUAUCAGCUUGUUGGUGGGGUAGUGGCUUACCAAGGCUUUGACGGGUAGCCGGCCUGAGAGGGCGACCGGCCACAUUGGGACUGAGAUACGGCCCAGACUCCUACGGGAGGCAGCAGUGGGGAAUAUUGCACAAUGGGCGGAAGCCUGAUGCAGCAACGCCGCGUGCGGGAUGACGGCCUUCGGGUUGUAAACCGCUUUCAGCAGGGGCGAAGCUUGUGGUGACGGUACCUGCAGAAGAAGCACCGGCUAACUACGUG
rnacentral:rRNA from 1 species